GUGAGUGUUAGAGUGAGUGUUAGUGUGCGUGAGUGUUAGUGUGUGUGAGUGUUAGUGUGAGUGUUAGUGUGUGUGAGUGUUAGUGUGCGUGAGUGUUAGUGUGCGUGAGUGUUAGUGUGUGUGUUAGAGUGAGUGUUAGUGUGUGUCUGCUAGUGAGUGUUAGUGUGUUAGUGUGUGUGUCUGCUAGUGAGUGUCAGUGAGUGUGUUACUGUGUGUGUCUUACUGAGUGUGUGUGUUAGUGAGUCUGUUUGAUGUCUGUUACUGAGUGUGUGUUUGUCAAUGAGAGUGUAUGUUUUGUACAUGAGUGUGUAUGUAUGUCUGUCGCUGACUGUAUCUCUGUCAGUAAAUGUGUGUGUCUGUUAGCUAGUGUGUAUGCGUCUGUAAGU